UACAGAGGUGGCGAGCGUUACUCGGAUUUAUUGGGUGUAAAGGGCAAGUAGGCGUCUUGACAAGUUAGGGGUGAAAUCCUGCAGCUCAACUGCAGAACUGCUCUUAAAACUGUUGAGAUUGAGUUUGGGAGAGGAAAGCGGAAUUCUCGGUGUAAGAGUGAAAUCUGUAGAUAUCGAGAGGAACACCAGUGGCGAAGGCGGCUUUCUGGCCCAGUACUGACGCUGAAUUGCGAAAGCUAGGGGAGCAAACAGG
rnacentral:rRNA from 1 species